GCGUGGAUAGUCUAGUGGUUAUGAUGUCGCCUUUACAUGCGCCCAACGCAUUGCCCGGCGAAGGUCGGGGGUUCGAUCCCCCCUCCGCGUA